rnacentral:rRNA from 1 species
GACGAACGCUGGCGGCGUGCUUAACACAUGCAAGUCGAACGGAAAGGCCCUGCUUUUGUGGGGUGCUCGAGUGGCGAACGGGUGAGUAACACGUGAGUAACCUGCCCUUGACUUUGGGAUAACUUCAGGAAACUGGGGCUAAUACCGGAUAGGAGCUCCUGCUGCAUGGUGGGGGUUGGAAAGUUUCGGCGGUUGGGGAUGGACUCGCGGCUUAUCAGCUUGUUGGUGGGGUAGUGGCUUACCAAGGCUUUGACGGGUAGCCGGCAUGAGAGGGUGACCGGCCACAUUGGGACUGAGAUACGGCGCAGACUCCUACGGGAGGCAGCAGUGGGAAGUAUUGCACAAUGGGCGGAAGCCUGAUGAAGCGGCGCCGCGUGCGGGAUGACGGCCUGCGGGUUGUAAACCGCUUUCGCCUGUGACGAAGCGUGAGUGACGGUAAUGGGUAAAGAAGCACCGGCUAACUACGUG